AAAGAAAAAAAAAAGAGAAAAAAAGAAAGGCUUAAGGUUGUCACCUCAAGGAUGACUUUUUUUCUGUGUUGCAAAAUGUGAUUGAAAUGUGAGCUACGUGACAGUAUUUAUUUCACAAUGCACUCAUCGCUGUUUAUGUAUUAAAACAUAAAUAUUUUGUAUUGGGGUUUAAUGCUGAAAUAGUUAAAGCGAUAGCGAAAUGCUACAAUACUGCAAUAUGACUGCAGGUUGCUGGACAACCAAUCUGCUGUCGUGGUAUGUUUUCUGCUAGGGCAUAUAUCAUAUGUUUUCGGUUCGUUAAUGCGAGUUCAAACAAGUGCUUACAGCCUACAAAAAGCGUAGGCCAUAUGGCACGUUCAGAUGGUUUCAGUUGCUUUGAUCGUUGUUGGAACAAAAUCAGGUAAAAUUUUGAAGAAACUCUGGCCUGCUCUUCUUUGACGCUGCACGAUUGAGCUUCAAUUGAUUGAUGUCUAAGGGACCCCAAAAGAAUUGCUAUUCAGCUUGUCAAGCUAUUGACUAACAAGACCCAAAAGAUACAGCAACAGCCUUCAGUAAAGUGUUGAAGUUAAGAGGUGACACAGUUCUGCGAAAACAGUGCUCAUGGGGAGGAUAAUCCCGGAAGUAACACUUAACCCAAUCAGAAGGAGCAUUUCAAACUUCGGAAGUGCUGACAUUAAACGGAAAAUUGGUGAGAAUAAUGACAUGUAAAAGGACACUGGUAAGCAUGACCGAACUUGCAUUUUGAAAGUGUUUUGAACCCAUACUGGACCAGACAUAUCUUGGCGGCCUUUGAACGCCCGAGGAAGUGAAAUUCUAAGAAUGACAUGGAGUGUAUUCAAAUUGUUACUGGCCCGCGUAUCGAGAAGUUGCGUGGAAUUCGUGUUUGCUCUGAAAAUGACCACCUCUUAUGUUUUACUUGUUUACUGUUCCGUAACAAGAUUUCACUCAUCCAGGCGAUCAGAUGCCAAAAAGGCAUCCUUCUUUUAGCAUUACCCUUGCCUUUUCCUUGUGUUGUUAGUGCAGAUCAGGAAGGAUUCAAUGAGUAAAGAAAUGUCGUUCAACCAAAGCAGACGCAUUCCUUUUUUUUUUUAAUUCACCAUAAAAUUAGCAUUUCGAGUUGGUCACGUGAAUUGGCGUGAGACAGCGACUCAAACAAUAAAUCUUACGUCAGAAAGAACUACGCUUUCUCAUUCGCUCUUGGCGAAGGGGCAACAUUCGAACGCCAGCGUUUUUCAUAUCUUAUGAAGGCUGGCUAAUUGACAUGAAGAUAGUACCCAAAAUUGAUGUCGUUUACUACCCCCUCUUCCCACUUGCCUCAGCGAGAGAUAAUACUAAACUAUUUGCUCUAUUUAAAUUAAUAUUCCGUCUCCAAAUUCUUCUGCGAACGUAAGUGGAUUCUAUUUUGCGGGGCGCAAAGGACUCUAAUGCCGUAACACCGCACCGUCUAGCGAUAUGGUCUCAAUGAAUCAGUUGUCUAUGUUUAUUUUUCAUGAAAUCAUGAUGAAAUGAUGCCCUUUUAACUUGGCGAUGGUCGACGACAAAUUCUUUACCUUCUUCAAAGCACCUCCCCUUCCUGGCCGUCACUUGGAAUGAAUUUUUGUCUAAGUGCGAUACAGUUGAGAAGGAAAUUGCUGACCUUGAGAUAACGAAGCUGAGAACAGUGUCAGAAUCUAAGAAUCUAAAACAUUUCCUCACAGGGGCGAAUGGCCAAUGCUCGAAACGUCGUCUUUGUAAUCUUUUCAUGGUGUUAAUUUGACUCUUAUCAACCUCCAACGUCUUUCAGUUCACACCGACGCUGCUCAACGGAGACAAAUCCUUUCAUUCUUGAGUCGGGUAAAUUUUGCUCCGAAAUUAUCAUGAUACGGCGUGAUUUUGUAAUCAGACGACUGCGUAGCUCUAGUUAAAGUUGACAUUUCCAAGAUGAAGUUCAGUCAUCCCCAGUUUGCUCAUAGUCUUUUCAGGUGUUACUGUGUAAAUAGAGAGAUAAAGCAAGCGACGUUUUCGAGCCACAAAUCGUGAACGACAACUGAAACUUGAAAGUGAGCUGUUUUCCUUCUCAACAUGUUUUCACACCGUUAUAUUUUUAUCGUUAUGUAUCUUUUCACCAGUAGAAACGAUUAGGUUGAAAAUCUGGGAGAGACCAAUGUGAUAGCGUAUGAAUAUUCACCUCCAUUUUCCGUCCAUGACUCAAAAACGUUGCUUGUUCAACCCAGUUGACCUAUUAUUCCCUUUUCAUACAUACAAUUUAGGGUAAGAUAAUGAAGAAUUAUUCAGCAAUGAAUCAACUCGCAUUGAAGACGAUGGCCGGUGACAAGGAUUUCGAGGUGUCUUAUCCUCAUUUGUUUGGAGUACUCCAUAGGCGUGAUAUGGCCGCUUAGAAAAUGAUUAUCCAACCUGAAUUAACGCUAAUCCCCUUUCUAAUUCCAUUAUGAUCUACCAUCCGUUUAUUGAGAGCACUGACAAAGAAGGUAAACCAGAUGCCAUCAGAUAACAUCGUUGGGCGAAACAGAGUAAUGUGGCGGACCUCAAACGCCGUGACCUUCCUAGUUUAUACAUAUUUUUUAUGCAUGCUUUGUUAUAACCGAUUUCUUAACCACUGGAUCAUUCUUGCUCUCUGUAUAAUUAACGUUUCCUGUUUUGGUUCAGUAAGGGAAAUUUUCCUUGGGGUUUCAGAGAUAAAGAAGUGUUUACACCUUGUGAGCAACUGA